rnacentral:tRNA from 1 species
AUAAUUCAAAUAGGUUGGUUGGACUCUGACUCCGUUAGUCGUGGUUCGAAUCCACGUCCCCCAGCCA